GUUUCGGUGGUGUAGUUGGUAUCACGUGUGCCUCAAACGCUCAAGGUCCCCGGUCCGAUCCCGGGCGAAAACA